CGCGUUUAGSYCCAGCCAUGCAUGUGUAAGUAUAAAUAAUUUUACUUUGAAACUGCGAAUGGCUCAUUAUAUCMSUUAUAGUUUAUUAGAAAUACUUUACUAMUUGGAUAACCGUAGUAAUUCUAGGGCUAAUACAUGACUAAAUCCUCAACUUCGGAAGAGGUGUGUUUAUUAGUAUGAAAACCAUAUAUCUUCGGAUAUAAUAGUGAGUAAUAAUAACCUUUCGUAUCGUAUGUCGUAAGAUAACGAUAGUUCUUUCAAGUUUCUGCCCUAUCAGCUUUCGAUGGUAGUAUAUGGGACUACCAUGGCAGUAACGGGUAACGAAGAAUUUGGGUUCGAUUUCGGAGAGGGAGCCUGAGAGAUGGCUACCACAUCCAAGGAAGGCAGCAGGCGCGUAAAUUACCCAAUCCUGACAUAGGGAGGUAGUGACAAUAAAUCACAAUGCGGAACUAUUUAGUUUUGCAAUUGGAUUGAGAACAAUGUACAAAUGUUAUCGAUAAACAAUUGGAGGGCAAGUCUGGUGCCAGCAGCCGCGGUAAUUCCAGCUCCAAUAGCGUAUAUUAACGUUGUUGCAGUUAAAAAGCUACMAAYAMA
rnacentral:rRNA from 1 species